UAGCUUAGGAAUCUGGCUUAUGAGGGGGAUAACUACGGGAAACUGUAGCUAAUACCGCGUAGUAUCGAGAGAUGAAAGUGCGGGACCGCAAGGCCGCAUGCCAUGAGAUGAGCCCAAGUGGGAUUAGGUAGUUGGUGGGGUAAAGGCCUACCAAGCCUGCGAUCUCUAGCUGGUCUGAGAGGAUGGCCAGCCACACUGGAACUGAGACACGGUCCAG
rnacentral:rRNA from 1 species